CCACUAAGGUCUAUUGCCUGAAAGGAAAAACACAGCUUUAAUUUUGUGACCAAGCUGCAAAGCCUAAAAGGUGAACUGUUAAAUAUUAUGGUUCAUGAGUGGACGCAUUUAGGGAUAUUUUUUUUUUACAUUGCAACAUGCUCAAACAGUGACUGAUGCCGAGAGAAGCUGAAGCAUGCUGGCGUCUGGAGUUUGAGAAUGUCCAGCUGUCUCAGGACUUUCUUUGGAAUGGAUUAAGUUUAUGAAGGGGCAGUUCAAGUGUCUUCAUGGAAUCAACCAGCAUGGCAACACAGACAAAGAGCAAUCACCACCACCACGUGGACCAGGUUAAUGCCACAGUGCCUCCUGCUAGAUCCAAAGCUGGGAAGCUGGUGAAGCAAGAUCAUGAGUGACACCUACUGGUUGGACAGGGUGUCUAGAUGGAGGGGUUAACAUUGGGAUACAGCCUGAAUCACUCUGCACAUUAUAGUUUUAAAGAAUUUUAUCUCCGUCUCUUUAAGACAGGUUCAUGAUCCACAAUCUGAACUGCGAUUUCUCUUCCUAAUUGAGUAGAAUCUCCAGACUCAAUCCAGACAAUGAACUUAUCUAUUUGCAACAUAUAAAACACAAUAUUGGAUUAAAGAACCCUUUUUUAAAUGGU